GGAUAAAAGGUACUCCGGGGAUAACAGGCUGAUACCGCCCAAGAGUUCAUAUCGACGGCGGUGUUUGGCACCUCGAUGUCGGCUCAUCACAUCCUGGGGCUGAAGUAGGUCCCAAGGGUAUGGCUGUUCGCCAUUUAAAGUGGUACGCGAGCUGGGUUUAGAACGUCGUGAGACAGUUCGGUCCCUAUCUGCCGUGGGCGCUGGAGAACUGAGGGGGGCUGCUCCUAGUACGAGAGGACCGGAGUGGACGCAUCACUGGUGUUCGGGUUGUCAUGCCAAUGGCACUGCCCGGUAGCUAAAUGCGGAAGAGAUAAGUGCUGAAAGCAUCUAAGCACGAAACUUGCCCCGAGAUGAGUUCUCCCUGACUCCUUGAGAGUCCUGAAGGAACGUUGAAGACGACGACGUUGAUAGGCCGGGUGUGUAAGCGCAGCGAUGCGUUGAGCUAACCGGUACUAAUGAACCGUGAGGCUUAACCUUACAACGCCGAAG
rnacentral:rRNA from 1 species